rnacentral:lncRNA from 1 species
AUAAAACAUGAAAAAAUUUUGGUCAUAUAUAAAAAGCAAAAAAACUGAUUACAGUGGAAUAACAUCACUUAAACAAAAUGGGAAACUUGUAACAGACACAAAACAGAAAUCCGAUGCACUCAACAGCCAGUUUCAAUCAGUCUUCUCAGAACCAAACAAAAUCACUGCUACUGAAUUUGAAAACAAUCAGUACAUGCAACAAAAAACAGCUUAUCCUAUCAUGCCAGACAUAAACAUAACCAUCAACGGUAUCACCAAACAAC